CAGUGCAAGUUGAACCAAAAUUUCAUGAGGGUGCGAGUAAUUUAGAAGAAUUGGUUCCUUUUGAGGAGUGUAUUGAGUUAUAUUCCACUGACAACGCAGUUGUGAGAGCUCCUGAGUUUCUCCUUCUUACUCAUAAUGGCCGUAGCUUCAACAUAGUUGUAAAUCCUACCAACCUUAGUGAAGGUCUGCACUAUUAUGAACUAUAUGGUGUUGAUUGCAAAGCACCUUGGCGCGGCCCUCUUUUCAGAAUCCCAAUUACUAUAACAAAGCCAAUCACUGUCAUAAGUCGACCUCCACUAUAUUCAUUUUCGAAAUUGUCUUUUUUGCCAGGCCACAUAGAAAGGAGAUUUAUUGAAGUACCUCUUGGUGCCACAUGGGUUGAAGCAACCAUGCAAACAUCAGGAUUUGAUACAACACGAAGAUUUUUUGUUGACUCUGUUCAGCUUUGUCCCUUACAAAGACCUCGUAAGUGGGAGAGUGUUGUAACAUUCUCUUCACCUGCUGCCAAAAGCUUUUCAUUUCCUGUUGUGGGUGGUCAGACAAUGGAAUUAGCUAUAGCUCAGUUUUGGUGAAGUGGCAUAGGAAGCAACGAAACAACUUGUGUGGAUUUUGAGAUUGUGUUUCAUGGGAUUAAUGUUAAUAAAGAGGAACUAGUGCUUGAUGGAAGUGAGGCACCAGUAAGAAUUGAAGCUGAAGCUCUACUAGCAUCCGAGAAACUUGCACCUGCUGCUACUCUAAGUAGGAUCAGAAUUCCAUAUCGACCAGUUGCUGCUGAACUUUGUUCUCUUCCAACAGAUCGUGACAAACUACCCUCAGAAAAACGUAUUUUGGCGCUGACAUUAACUUACAAGUUCAAAUUGGAAGAUGGAGCUGAAGUAAAACCUCAAGUUCCAUUACUUAACAAUCGCAUAUAUGAUACUAAAUUUGAGUCUCAGUUUUAUAUGAUCUCUGAUGCAAACAAGCGUGUAUAUGCAACGGGUGAAGCUUAUCCAAGCUCUUCAAAACUGCCCAAAGGCGAAUACACUUUACAGCUAUAUCUUAGG